rnacentral:rRNA from 1 species
GGUUAACCUGCCCUGGAGUGGGGGAUAACCUCGGGAAACUGGGGCUAAUACCGCAUAAGACCACGGAGAGGCAUCUCUCAGGGGUCAAAGCCUUCGGGCGCUUCAGGAGGGGAUCAGUCCGUAUCAGGUAGUUGGUGAGGUAACGGCUCACCAAGCCUACGACGCGUAGCCGGUCUGAGAGGAUGGUCGGCCGCACUGGGACUGAGACACUGCCCAGACUCCUACGGGAGGCUGCAGUCGAGAAUCUUUGUCAAUGGGCGCAAGCCUGAACGAGCGACGCCGCGUGUGGGAUGAAGGCCUUCGGGUUGUAAACCACUGUCAGGGGCUAACAAUAAGCGUGUAACUCACGUGAUGAGUUAAACCCCAGAGGAAGUGACGGCUAACUACGUGCCAGCAGCUGCGGUAAUACGUAGGUCACGAACGUUAUUCGGAAUCACUGGGCUUAAAGGGCGCGUAGGCGGCUCAGCAAGUAGAGGUUGAAAUCCGGCGGCUCACCCGUCGAACUGGUCUCUAAACUGCUGGGCUGGAGUCAUGGAGGGGUGCGUGGAACUUGUGGUGGAGCGGUGAAAUGCUCAGAUAUCACAGGGAACACCGGUGGCGAAGGCGACGCACUGGCCAUGUACUGACGCUGAGGCGCGAACAGCCAGGGGAGCGAACGGGAUUAGAUACCCCGGUAGUCCUGGCACGUAAACGAUGCGCAUUAGGGAGAGGGUGUUCCUAGACAUUCUCUCCCCAAGGGAAACGGUUAAAUGCGCCGCCUGGGGGAGUAUGCUCGGCAAGGGUAAAACUCAAAAGGGAAUUGACGGGGGCUCACACAAGCGGUGGAGCAUGUGGUUUAAUUCGAAGCAACGCGAAGAACCUUACCAGGCCUAGACAUCAGGAUGUAACUGCGUGAAAGCGCAGCCAACCCGCAAAAGGAAAAUCCUGUGCAGGUGUUGCAUGGCUGUCGUCAGCUCGUGUCGUGAGAUGUCGGGUUAAGUCCCAUAACGAGCGAAACCCUUACUGCCAGUUGCCAGCGGAUAAUGCCGGGGACUCUGGCGGGACUGCCUCGUAAGACGGAGGAAGGUGGGGACGACGUCAAGUCAUCAUGGCCCUUAUGGCCUGGGCUACACACGUGCUACAAUGGGGCGUACAAAGGGAACCGAGGCCGCGAGGCGGAGG